AAAUGGAUUGAUUGACUAUCCUGGGUAGAAUAUACUUAUAAUACUAGUUUCCAUUCAUCAUUAUUAACCAUUCCAUUUGAGGUAGCCCAUUGGCGUCCACCCUCACGUCUCUUGUCCUACUGCCCUGGAAUCUCAAAAUUGGAUGCUGUGGAAAAGGCCCUCAAAUCCAAGGAUGAGAUGUUAGCCUUGCUAAAACUGAACUGAUUGCAUGCGCAAAACAAAAUGAAGUGUGUUUAUGAUGCCAAACAUCGGCAACUAGAAUUUCAAGUUGGGGAUAAGGUUCUUCUACGCCUACAAUCUCAUCGCCAACUAUCCGCGGCAAAUCGUCUUCAUCAAAAACUUGCACCAAAGUUUUAUUGCUCUUUCACAAUUGUGUAGUGUAUUGGAAAUAUGGCUUAUAAGUUGGAUUUAUUGCUCUUCCAAAAGCUUUUCUAGAAAUUUCAGACCAGAU
rnacentral:misc_RNA from 1 species